CCGCGCAGGCGCAGGGGUAUGCGCAGGCGCGUGGCGUCGGACUUCCUCGGAGCGACUCUGGAUUGCGGCUGAGGGGAAAGGUUCCCGCGGCCGGACGCGGUGGGGACCGCACGCCGAGGGCCUGUCCUGCCCGGCUGGGCUUAGGGGGACCAGGCGCCCAGACGCCCUCAGCAGCUCCGGACUUACAGACGGGGUGACCGCGCUGGGCGUCCCGGCGGAGCCAAAGGGCCAGCCCCGGAGUCUCGGGCGCCGCGGGGCGCACCCCCACGCCUGACCGUCGGGGUCCCCGUUCCCGCGGGGCGCACAGGUCUCCGCACUCCUGACCGUCGGGGUCCCCGUGCCCAUAGUGCCCAUAGGUCUUCCCCUCGUCUGAAGAUCGUGGAGUCCCCUGCGCCCCAGCGGUGUGGGUCACUGUGGGGUCCGCAUCCCUACCCCGAGCUGUGCUGGGUUGGGCGGGCACCAGGGACGUGGCUUCAGACAGUCUCUCUCAAACCUCAGGCCCCGCAGUUUCUAACAGACUUACUUAGACGGGGGAGGGGAGGAGGCAGACAAUCUCCCGCGGGUCGGCUGAGUGUGGAGGCCGAUGCGGGGGGCGGGGUGAGCCCACCUGAGGUCAUGACCUGAACAGAAGCCCCGAGGUGCAGUUUAACCCCUCAGCCACCCAGGAGCCCCACUCACCCCCUCUUCUUAAAGCUCGGGUGCUUCUUGGGGUCACGCCCGCUCCGUGCAGGAGUGCGCCCCGUUCUGUUGUCUGGACGUGCCGCCUUCUUCCCAGCUCACCGCCUGCUGCUGGGCCGGUAGGCGUCACCGGUUCUUCUUAACAGUGUGAGCGGCUUCUCAGUAGUGGUGGAAAGAUCAGCACGGACCUGUAUGAAGUUCUCCCAGCUCCUGUCAUGAACCCCCAGUGUGACGGUGCCCGGCGGGGCCGGUGGGAGGCCGUGAGGUCAGCAGGCGGAGCCUCGUGAUGGGGUUAGAGCCCUUGCAGCAGAGGCCCCGAGCCCGCGCUCUCCCCGCUUCUGCCCCGUGAGGACGCGGCCUCCUGAACCGGGACUGGGUCCUCCGCAGACGGGGCAUCUGCCAGGACCUUGGUCUUGGACCGUGAGACACCAGUGGGGCUUGUAAGCCCCCCAGGCUGGGGUCCUUUGUUAUAGCAGCCUGAACAGCUUAAGGUCGUCUCCCAGUGUUGAUGAGACGGAGUCUCGGCAGUGUUUCUCCAGUGUUAACGUGCACACGAGUCCUCUCGGGAGCUUGUGGAGAUCCUGGUUCGGGAGGUCUGGAGUGCGGCCUCUGCAUUUCUAGCAAGCACCAGGGGGUGCCAGUGACGAAAGCGGCUGGUCCGAAGGCCAUGCCGUGAGUCGCAAAGACAGAUGAGAAGAAGUGUGUUGGCUCCGGAGUCGGGCAGACCUGACUCGGGGAGGAUUCAGAGUCGUGGAUCCAGGGCCUCCUUGGCUAGAGCCGAGCACUUUCAGAUUCCUGGCACCUGCCGACAUCGUGGGAAGGAAGCAGCUGGGUGACUUUCUCGUCGCCACAGAAUGCAGGCUGUAAAGCCUGUGACUCUCUUCUAAGCUCUGCUGAAGUUCACACGUGUGCCUCUCUGUUCAUCCGUGAAGCCUUUCUAGGGACCCUCCAGCAGCGCACGGUGCCAGGUGAGGCCGGGGGAGUCCUGUCCUCGGGAGGGUCACAGCCUCCCUGCAGAGGUGAGACAAGUGCUGGAGUGAGCAGGACACAGCAGAGACGGUGGCGUGCUGCCGGAGGUGCUGGGAAUGCUCAGGCCCCACAGACCGCGAGAAAGGUCUGGCUUUCGGUCUGGGGAACGACACGAUUGUAACUGUAUCUCGAGCAAAGCUCGUUGGUCGCAGGGGUGAGCUGGAGCACGGAGACCCCUGCUCACCAGGGUCAGUGACCUCCACUGUGUGCUGCAGCCUAGACAGCAACAUCUGUCAUCUACAGCUGUGGUGGUCUGCGCCUGCUGUUUAUAGACUCUGAGAGUCUGUCAUCUGUCGACCAUGACGGUCCAUGUCGUCUGUCGUCUCUGGACCAUGAUGGUCUGUGUCGUCUGUCUUCUCUGGACCGUAGCAGUCUGCAUCGUCUGUCAUUUCUGUCCCAUGAUGGUCCAUGUCGUCUGUCAUCUGUAGACCGUGACAGGUCCAUGUCGUCUGUCAUCUCUAGACCGUGACGGUCAGUGUCAUCUGUCUUCUCCAGACCGUGAUGGUCCAGGUCAUCUGUUGUCUGUAGACCAGGACAGCCUGUUUCUUCUGUCAUCUCUAGUCUGUGACAGUUCGUGUCAUCUGUAGUUCAGGACAGUCCCUGCCAUUUGUCGUCUCUAGUCCUGAUGGUCCAUGUUGUCUGUAGACAGGAUGGUCUGUGUUGUCUGUAGUCCGUGAUGGCCUUUGUCAUCUGUCAUCUCUAGUCCGUGAUGGUCCAUGUCCUCUGUCAUGUGUAGACCAGGACGGUCCUCGUCAUCUGUCAUCUCCAGUCUGUGAAGGUCCAUGUCAUCUGCAGACCAGGAUGGUCUGUGUUGUCUGUCAUCUGUAGACCAGGACAGUCCCUGUCGUCUGUUGUCGGCAGUCCGCAAUGGCCUAUGUCGUCUGUUGUCUCUAGUCUGUGAUGGUCCAUGUUCUCUGUUGUCUGUAGACCAGGACGGUCCAUGUCAUUUGUCAUCUAGACUAUGAUAGUCUAUAUCCUCUGUCUGUAGACGUGGUCUGUGACAUCUGUCGUCUCUUAAAAUGCAGACCAAGGUGGUCUAUAAUGAAAGUUCUGGACCAGCAUUGGAGGGUCAGCAAAGGGAAUCUCAGGCCUUGAGAAGUCUGGGAAGAAAACGUGUCAUGUGUUGAGGCCUUGGGGUUGGGACUGAGGUGUGCAAACAGUCAUGGCAGGUCCCACUGUUAAGAAUUCAAGAAAGUGCCAGCAGCCUUUGUGUGACAGAAGGCAGCUGCAUGGUUGCCUGGAGAAGGGCUGAGGUAGGGGAGACAGACGAGGGCAGGAGGAGACUGGCUAGGUGUGUCUGUCCCAUGGAGCAGACCGGGGCUUCACAGGUGUGCACAGGUGUCCUGACCCAUCAGCCCCCACACCUCAUGUCUGUGCAUAUGGCCAUAGGCCAGUCACUGCUCUCUGUGGCUGCCUAGUGAUGCCCCGAUUUCGUGUGUGUGAGCUACCAGGUGGGUGGUUAUGAACUGAGGGGUCUGGUGACUGGCUUAGACCGACGGAGCUCAGUGGGUUCUCAGAGCGUCAGAAGACAGCUACCGUGUCUGUCGUGUCAGGGUCACACUGUCUUUGCUGCCUGCGUCGGAAACAUUUGCCCUUCGACUGCUGAACCCAGCUGAGCUCUUUGAACCAGACGUAAACCCAGAGUCCGAUGCGGUGAAGGCAGCACGGUGUGCGGCUCCGCGGGCGACAGAGCCCCAGUGAUAGUGGGGGGCGGGGGAGCAUGUCAAGUAAAGGAAGCGGGAGCUCUGGGCGCCCUCCGUCUGGAGUCACCCAGUCAUGCGUGCACUCUUCACCUGUCCUCAGUACAGGACCAGCCAAUGUCACUGAGGGCUCUGUAAAGCCGAGAGUGUGGGUCCCCUGUCGAAAAGCGGAGAGUUUGAGAUGAGCCCAGCAGAGCAGCCCGUGAGCACGGCGCCCCCCCAUGCCGCACCCGCACCAGGGUCUGUCCCCCCGACAGGAAGGCUCGGGAUGAAUGGUGUCUGUGUGCGCCGUGGCCUGAGCUUCUUCCUGUCUGUCUGCACGGUCCUGGCUCAGCCCUUUUGAGACUGUUGGCAUUUUUCUCAAAACUGGGGGACUCUGCUCACAGUGGCUCAUGUCCACCAGACGCAGGCAGAGGCGUCUAGGUUUGCAUCUCUGCUUUUCCUCUGGCCACUGGGGCUCCCGUUUCCUCCCGAGCCCUGUUCCUCGGGGCCGCUGAGGGGGCUGUGCCGGGCACGAAGCAGAUGCUCCCUGCUCUUCUCCGUCAGCAGAGCACAAGACAGGACUUUGUGUACAGGUUUUUGAGAUCUUAUUUUAGAGAGAGAGAGAUGGAGAGAAUAAGUGGAAGGAGCGACAGGCAGAGGGAGAAGCAGGCUUCCCGCUGAGCAGGGAGCCUGACUCGGGGCUCGAUCUCAGGACCUCGGGAUAGGACCUGGGAGCCGAAGGCAGCUUCACCCACUGAGCCACCAGGUGCCCACGUGUACAGGUUUUAGUCCGUGUUUUAUUUAUGCUUUGGGCUUAGUCUGGGGGAUGUGUGAGACGCAUCAUGAGGCACGUGUGCAGGGGCAACUGGGGAAGGUGGCAAGGACAAGGAGCGGGGACGCGUGGGUCCCUGAGCCAGUCCCAGGGAAGGCCAGCAGCUCCCGGUUCUCACGUGGGAGAGAGCAAGGCGCUUGCCUGACCUGAGGCCCUUGGGUCCCUGCAGGGCUACUUUCCAGCAGGGGCGGGGCCUGAGGAUUCUGGGGUCCGGGGGAGGCUGCCUGGUUCCCAUCCUGGUCCCAUGUGUUGUGGCCGGGAGCCUCCGAGCAGUUCAGUCCACCUCUGUGCCACCCACCCUGAACGGGGGCGGGGACAGCACCCACCUCGGAGCCCCAGAGUCUGACUCCAGGGAGGGCUGCUCGUGGCGCACUGGUGCCGGGGCGGGGGCACGCUGGCGUUUCUCUGUUGAUAGAAGAUCCGUGGUUUCGGAAGGGAGCUCUCGGGCUGAGUUGCCCUCUGCAAGUGUAUGUUGACAUCUUGACGCCCAGGACCUCAUGAUGUGCCUGUGUUUGGAGAGAGCAUCUUUAAAGAGCUGAUCGAGUUACAGUGAGGUGUUAAGAGAACCCCACUUUCCACGCUCGAGCCCCAGACCCGUCAGGGAGGUGUUUUCCUCCAGGCCCCAGGGCAGCUCCCCUCCUGCACGUGCCCAGCCACCCUCCAGCCAUCUCUGCACACCCGGGCCUGCCCUUUCUAGAACUUCUGCCUCCUGAUCUCCCCCGUUUCUGGGGUCUGAUUUGCAAGGGAAGAGCUCAGAGUGUCUUGCUGAGCGGCAACAUGGUUGAGUAGCUGAGAUCACAGACUCUGAAGCCAGAGUGUGAAGGUGUCAAUGGCAGCCGCCACCCAACACACCGCGUGACCUCUCUGGUGGAGAAGGGCCUGCCAGUGUCACGUCCACGGCGGUCCAUGGUGAGUACUGGCUGUUAUUGGCCCCAGAAUCGCACAGGGCAGUGCUGCCUCCUUCCAGAAGAAACAGUGUCGGGCGUUUAAAUCAGUGAGUGGCAUGGCUGCUUCUGUGGCCUCUGCUCCGAAGUGAGCUCAUGUGUGUCCUCGCUCCGUGCGCGCACCCGGCCAGAAGCCUUGUCAGCUGGAGCCGGCCGGCGGGCGUCCCCACACCGCAUGCACCCUGGCGUCCCCUGUCCACGCCGCUGACAGUGGGGAUGGUCUCCGCCGUCGCCUUCACCGCCCGCCCGCUUGCCGGCGCCCGCACGCCGUGUCUGCAGCCCGGCCGGCCCGCAGGAGCUCAGCAGGCUGCUCACCCGCCCCGGGGCCUGAUGGUGCUCCUCGCACUUGUGCCGUGGCCAGCAGCUUCCUUUCUAAGGAUGAGGAAAGGCCACGGCUGUGAGAUUGGUCCCGCAAAUGGACUGAAGAAAACAGAAAUAAAGGCUGGUUUAGACGGAGCCUUGCCCUGUCCCCCGCCUGUUCCUUUAUUCCCCCCCUUUUUUAAGAUUUUAUUUGAGAGAGAGCAUGAAUGGGGGGAGCGGCAGAGGCAGAAGCAGACUCCCCGCUGACCAGGGAGCCCGACGCGGGACUCCAUCCGAGGACGCUUUGAUCACGACCUGAGCCAGCCAGGUGCCCUUUCGUUCAUUCCCUUGGGUUUGCCAAGCGCCUGUCCCGAUCAGAUACAGGCCCGGCACACGGAGGGUUUAGGGUGAAGGUGGCCUCCCACAGGACGCCACGGGUCGUGGUCUUGAAUGUGAGGUUGCCAGGGCGCUGCGCUGGGCGUGGGGGAGGCAGGUGUGGAGGGAAGGUGGGAGCAGGGCCCAGGAGGAGCUCUCGCUGGUCGGGCUGGGAGCGCAGGGCUUGAGCUGAGGCGGUGGCGGCAGGACAGAGAAGAUGAGCCUGGCGCCUGCGGGUGCGUGCACGGCCCGGGAAGCAGGAGGCCCCCGUGGAGCAGCGAUGGGCGUCUCUCGCAUCUCGCCGUGCCCGGUGCGAGCUUCUCUCCCAGCGCCCGGCUGGGCGGCAUCCGUGCACCCCCACAAGCUCCUGCUCCCACCCUGGGCGCGCGGUUCUCCGGCUGGCUGUCCGAGUGUGCCCACGCCCCAGGCUCAGCACCGAGAGCUGUGCACACGGUGCCUGUACACUGCCCGGUGUUGGGAGUUCAGUUGAUGUAACGAUGCGCAAACCACGUUCAUUCAGAAUCAUCGGUAAGAAACCCACCACGCGCUGACACAUCUGUGUGAACGGGAACUGUUUCCCACAGCAGUUUUAGGACAGUGACAUGGUUUGGCAUUGUUGCGAAUCUGGGUGUCUGGGGUCCUGGCUGGAGCGGCCAGACUGUCCCGUCUUCCCGACCCCACAGACGGGACAGAAACGCACUCCAGCUCCUCCAGAUGCCUGCGGCUUGUCUGUGGUGACACCGCCUCCCAGCGAGCUGCGACCGGGAAUCUGACCUCUUGGUGAACGCCUCCCGCACUCCGAUCCACAGAAAUCUGCCCCAUCCUUGGGGUCUCCGGCCUGGGUGGGGUGUCGCAGUGUCCGCAUCGGUCGUUGGGAAAACAAUGGUUCAUUCUUUUAUCUGGAACGUCCAUAUAUUGACGUUUCAUUUCAUAAUUUAAAAAAAUCAUUUUCAGGGAUGGGAGGUUGGGGGAGCCUGGAUGUGGGUAUUAGGGAGGGUACGCAUUGCAUGGAGCACUGGGUGUGGUGCAUAAACAAUGAAUUCUGUUACACUGAAAAGAAAUUAAAUUUAAAAAAAAGAAAAAGAAAUCAUUUUCUCAUCAGAAAAGUCUUUGAGCCUGAAAGCUGCCAAGAGAUAGAAAGCUUCCGAAAUGGUCAUUUUCUCUUAAAUGUGUAGGUGUUAUGGGCGAGAAGUCCUGUUCAUUCUCCUGGAAGAGACAGGCUCCCUUAGUUCUUUUCUGACAAGAUGCCUGCAGGUGCACAGGCCUGCGUCUCCGUGGCACGUGCCCUCCUCGGAGACGACCCGCGCGCCCCGUGACGGGCUCCGCACACCUCCCAUGCCUUCGCUCGGAACACGGCAGAGGCCGGCACCCAGGCUUGAGGUUGAGUACAACUCAGGACGUCCUUAGGCUGCAUCUGAUUUCCACGAGUGCGUGGUGGGGAGGUGCCAGGGCCCUGGGGCAGUGGGCUGGCGGGCCCGUGUGAAGACGCCGGCGCCGACCCCUGCAGCUCCUACGCACCGUCAGCUCGUGCCCUCAUGGCAAGGGGCCUCCCUCGUAGCCGCCAUCACGGGGGGGGUUCUGUGAGGGGGCAGACACAGCCGCCACCAAGGUCGCCAGAGCCACAGGGACAGCGGCUGCACCUCAUCUCACACUCAGUGGAGGGGCUGGCGGCGGGAUCAGGGCUCAGACUGUCCCUAACCCAGCCUCUUUUUGGCCGAGUCAGAACACUUGCAGGCUUCAGUCCCCUGUGGCUCCAGGAUCCCUGUGGCUUCCUUACAUACUCUCAUUUCCGAGUCACUGUGUCACUCUGGAGCCUAGGCCUGCUCCCAGGGGAGGGAAGGGGACUGGUAUCUUAAGCUAGAUGGGCCGAGUGAUUCCACGUCCUCCUGAAGGACCCGUGACUGGUGGAUCUUCACAGGAAGACAGAAGAGGCCCCGAAGGACAGAGAAGCGGAAGCCAAGGCCUUACAGUGGGACUGACUCAGCUAGGAUCAGAACUCCUCCCUUGGGGACCGAGCCAGGACACCCUGAUUGCCGGACCUGAGCCCGAGGAGGCCAGGAGCUGGCAUCUGAGUCCAAGAACAGUGGUUUUCCUGGCUGGGUAUCUGAUGCUGACCCUGUCCGUCACCCUCACACCACCAUCCAGGGACUCCUCUCUUGUUGAAAGAUGGGGUCCCCGAGCUUGGAGGGCUUAUUACAUGGUUUUCCUCUUGUCCAGAAUCCCCCCUGAUCUCUUAGCCUUCUGCUUUCUGCUGGAUGGAACUGGUGGAGCGUCUACCGGACGGGCUAUGGCCACAGCACCGGCUCCCAGCUCCUCGGCCCUAGGGCCUCUGGCCCCCGCUCCACUUGCUCUUGCCUCGGAGGGAGGAGAUCCAAAGGCCUUCUUCAGGGUGAAGAGGGGACAUGUGUUCAGCAAAGUCUGGCAGGAAAAAGAAAGCCUUUGGGUGGAGGGACCCAAAGAGCAGCUCCCACAGAAAGCCCAGCCGUGCCCACGCCACUGGGACAGACGCGAACGAGGUGCAUCGCCUCAUUUAGACAUCGGGACCCAGAAAUAGAACACAAUCUACAAUAUAGCUUCCUUCAGGCAUCUGGAUGCCAUUUAAAAAGAAAAAAAAAAGAAAGGCCUUCUGUGAGAUGGCGGGACACAGGCUGAUCGCCGGCUUGACCCGCUCAGCAGAGGAGCCCAGCGCUCUGGGAGACUGCUGGGAGGGACGGCCGCCCUGUGAGCGCAGGGCCCCUGCUCAGGACGAUGGACAGGCGUGGGAAUGAGCACAGGAAGUGUUUCCAGUAAAUCCAUCAGUUAAAUCGACUGCACCCACCCACCAAACUUUUGUGGACUAAGGACAGAGGAGUUGACCCCAGGUGUCUCUUGGCAAACUCUGCUCAUGUCAGCUGUUGGGGGUGGAUGGUGUUGAAAUCCUGACCCACAGGACCUCAGAAUGUCGCCCCAUUUGGAACCAGGGUCUUUGGAGUUGAUCCAGUUAAGAUGAUGUCAUCAGGGGGGGUCCUAACCCAGUAGGCCGCGUGUCCUCAGGAAAAGGGGGAUUUGCACACAGAGACAGACGCACAGGCAGGAAGACGCCACGUGGGAUGGAGGCAGACAUGGGUGACGGGUCUACCAGCCGAGGACGUGGAAGACGCCGGCAAGCCAGCAGGGGCUGAGAGAGGGGCCCCACGAGGAACCGGCCAUGUUGGCACCUGGGUCUCAGACGUGCGGCCUCCAGACUGGGGGGGAGUGGACGUCUGUGGUUCAAGCCGGCCGGUGUGGGGAACUUGGUUACGCAGCCCCAGGACUCGGAUAUAUUAGCUAAGCCUCCCGCUCACACUGUCUGUCCCUCAGGGCGCGGCUGAUCCCUGCAGAGGGAAGGCAGCGGUGCAGCCCGGGAAUGUGAGGAAGGCUUUCCCAGAGGGCGUCUUCCUUCCACCUGCUGAUACAGUCUGGUACUUGCUGGAGCCGCGGGCUCCUGGGUGGCCAGUUUCGUCAAGGUCACCCUUGGUCCUGAGAAGCCCAAGAUAACAGUCAAGUUUCCUCUGGGGUGUUCCCAAGGCUCCUCCAAUGGCCGUCGUCCAAGCAGCCCCAGAGGAGCCUCCAGCGGAAUCUGCAGGUGCCGUGUGGCCAGGGUGGGCCUGGUGGACGUUCCUCAGCAGGGCCACAGGGCUUGGGGCUGAGACGGGGACCUCUGCCACUUGCCCUACGGCCCCAUUCUGGGCCAGGACCAAGGUGCCUGUCUUUGUCCCUCAGCCUGGGCCAGAAGCGGCGUUGCUGACAGCUGGCCAGCCCUCCUGCAGAGAGGAGCAGGUGUCCCCUCCGGGUGUCAAGAACUCAAUCAGUCUCCGUGAGACGCAGGCCGCCCUCCUGGGGCCAGCCGGAGACCCCAAGAUGUGCUGGCAGGAGGGAGGACCGGCCCAGCAGGUGACCGCCCGGUGGUUGGAGGUGGGAAGAGGCUGCCCCGUGGGGGCAGGAGGCUGGGGAGGGGUCUCUUGUUGGCAUCUGAGUCUGUUUGAGAGGCCUGUCUUGGACAGGGUCAAGGUCUGCCCCUCUCUCAGCUGGUGGACACCUGCGACUUCAGGAAAGGGCAGACAGAGGGGAGGUGACGGUGCCACGGACACAGUCCCUGGGCGAUGUGGUGGCCUCCGUAGAGACGUGUGCAGACCCAGACUAGAUGGCCUUCUGAGCGCCCUGCCAGUGCGGGCACGCGCAGCCCACGGCUGCCUCUUCCCUGGGCCUUGAUUUCCCAGCUCUGCUCACACCCUCUCCCCAGCACGUCCACACCCCGUGGCUGCUCUCCCUCCCGGUUUAAUGCUGUUCCCAUUUCUGGUCUCUUUCUUCCGAAGACGGUGCCUCCUGCUUGUACUGGCGUCACGGCCUCCCACCAGUCCUGCCCUUCAUCCCUCCGUCCCACGGCUCCACGCCCUCGCCGUCCCUCCCCCACUCUGCGGCCAGAGGGCCACGUCACCCACCUGCAGCCCCUCGAGGACAGUUCCACGCUCAGCCUCCGCCGUUGACUCAGAGCCUCAGAGGACACGUGGUUGUCCUCUGCCCUGUGGUUGUAGGGGGGCCCUCGCUCUGUCCGGGGCUGCCUGGGGAGGAGGGCGGGGGCGGCGUGCGGCAUCCCUGACGGGACGCAGCUGAGCCCGGAGUCCAGACCAGCGACAGGCGGAGGGGAGCCCUGAGGCAGCUCUCCCCACAAAGGCCAGCGGAAUGGCAGGCACGGGCCACGCUGGCAGCUGUCCCCCACCGGCCUUUAACUCUGGGAUAACAGAAGCAGAAACCAGAGCAAGUCAAACAUAGGACAGUCCUUGGUCACUGUCUUCGCUCACUCACCCUAACAGCCCUCCAGGCUUCUCCCGUUCGGGAUGGGGUUGGGCAGCGGCAGGCAGAGAGGAGAAACACCGAACAGGCGAGUGUGGGGCCGGGCAGCACGGCAGGCCAGCCGUCAGCUCCUGGGGUGACGUCCUGUCCCUCCUACCUGCACUGAGCCCACCCUCCUCAGGGGCCGGGGCAGCAGCUGGACUCCUGGUGACGCGCCAGGAGCGACGUGCGGGAGAAGGUCUUGGCACAGGUCUUGCACUGGUACUUCUUGGUGUCAGAGUGUGUCUGCAGGUGGGCCCGGAGAUUGGAGCGGUCGGCGAAGGCCCUGCUACAGUGAGAACAGGUGUAGGGCUUCUCACCUGGGGGAGGAAGGGGAGCGUGGGUCAGGGUCCCUCUGCCUGGUCAUGGGAGCUGGCCCCGGGUUCAUGGGUCGUGUUUACAAACGAACAAGCUUCAGGGUGCCUGGGUGCUCCCCUGGUGAGCACCUGCCUCUGGAUUUCAGCCCAGGUCAUGGUCCCAGGGCUGUGGGGUGGGGCCCCGGCUCAGGCUUUGCUCAGCGGGGAGUCCCUCUCCCUCUGCUCCCCCCCAAUAAAUAAGUAAAAUCUUUAAAAUAAAAAAAUAAAUGAAUAAGAAUAACAUUCUCCAAAUGUUCGUGCCCGUUCUAAUGCAUUCUCUUCCUUCAGCGCCCUUCCCCAGCACUCAUGGAGGGGGCCUCAGCCCGGCUCCAGGAGGAAACCCUAGGACCAACAGGCCCACAUACACAGUCAAGAGCCCUCCGGGGGGCCUUCUGGCCACUGUUCCUGCCGUGGAAGGACAGAGUGGCAAGCGGUGCCACUCCCGGAUCGGCCGUGAAGGCGGGCUGAGAGGACUGAGCCCCGGCCCCUGCAGUGGACGCAGGCAUUUAGGAACGUCUUAGGAACCUUGUGUCCUCCAAAGCACCUCCAAUCAGGGUGCUUGGGGAUUUGCGCAAAGUCCUUCCGUUGGGAGCUGGGCCCCCUGGAUAGCCCUAACAAGUGUAAGAGGACCACUGGGGCUCAUCUGUCCUCUGCCCGUGUGGAGUGACUCCCAGCCCUCCGCCCUGCGGAGCCCCGAGAGGCACCAGACUGCAGUCCACACGGCCCCUGAGCAUCUCUCCCUGCUGCUCAAAGCCCGGACACCCUCCAGCCCGGUCAGUCUCCUGUGGGGCCUCCCACCCUCUGGGCUCCCAGACCCAGAGCGCUGAGUGCCUGAGAGUGUGGGGUGGGGUACUCAGGGACAUCUCUGCGGGGGGAGCUGAGGAAAACCAAAUGGAAUUUCAGCCCAGACAGUGGCUCCUGCAAGACUCUGCUUUCGAGCCUCUGCCCAGCUGGGACUCCAAGAGUCCUAGUUACAGAGACUCGGGCACGGAGGCUCCGGGGAUGGGAGGCAUGCGUGGCAGCUGGGGCCUUGGCCCGCAAGUCUCGUUCCUGGCCUUCUGUCUGUGCCUCCCUCUGCCUCUCCUGGUGGGCCUGGGGUGCGGUGUGGUCCUACCUCCUGCCCUCAGAGUUGAAGUGCUGAGGCCUCUGGGCCUCAGGUCUGGGCACAUGCCCCUCUCUUUCGUCGGCUCGUCUGUCUCUGUCUGCCCGCAGCUGCCCUCCUCUCCCUUCCUGUGUUCGGGCCUCCUCUUCCCCAGGAUGGGUUUGCUCCUGGGCCCUCAUCAAGCCCCAGCUGUCGUCUGUGCCAUUCAGGCAGUCUGUGUCCCCCAUGCUUGCCACCCGUCUUUCUCCGUCCCCCACUCCUCCUGCUCCAGAGUUCCGGAAGGCCGCGGAAGGUGACAAGUCAGACCCACAGAAGCCGGGACAUCCUGUGCUUUGCCAGGUGUUGUGGGGUGAAUUGUGUGUCUCAAAACAGGUGUGUUUGUGUCAUAACCUCCAGUGCCUGUGGACGUGACCUGACCUGGAACCCAGGGCCCCUGCAGAUGGGACCAGAUUAGGGUGGGGUCACCCUGGGUAUGUGGACCCUGGCCCCCUAUACUGGUGUCCUCACAACAGAGGCAAUAUGGACGCAAAUAUGCGUAGGGGAGAGGCCACAUGAGGAUGGGGGCAGGGGCGAGGGACAUGGCCACCGUGGAGGGACACCCGGGCCUCCCUGGCGCUAGACGAGGCAGGAAGGACCCUCCCCGGAGCCUCUGGAGGGAGCCCGGCCAUGUUGGCCACUUGUUUGCAAACUCUCCCCUCUGGUCCUGUCUGGGGCCAGGCCUGAACCCCGCCCCCCAGGGCCUCCCACCAACCCACCUGUGU